UCCCAGUCGCACGCCACACAAUUUGGAAGAAUAAUCAAAGUCAUGUUUGAAUCCUCUCAGUCACCCCGGACGAGCCAAGCAGCCGGAGGGAUGAGUCACUUUUCUGUGGCGACGGCAGAAAAUCGGAGGGGGGGUGGAAGGGGGAGGGUUUAGCCCGAGGUUAUUCCGCUUUGGGAGGUGCGUCUGAAUGACUUUUGGGCAUUAAAAAUAAAUGCCCCCCCUUGUGUUGAAAGAAAUCCAUAAAGCACUACACGCUUGAGAUGCUGAGGGCCGAGCGGCGGCAUCACAUCGGAUCGCCGUUACUUACUUAGUCAAUUCCCUAAACAUGAUUAUUAUUUUCUCAUUUUAAUCUCGCUCCUCCUCUCGCUCCAUCCGUCUGGCUCGCACUCCGUCUCUUCCUCGCUCCUGUCUCCAUCUUUAUCGACGGCCUCAUAGUCAAACCCGUCGCCCCGUCCUCCACCCUCUCUUGGCCUCCCACAGCCCGAUGACGAGUGACCUUGACAGGCUCAUCAAUAACGCAGGGGGGCGGGGGGGGAUUAAACGUCGCUCCAGCUUCUGCCCUCAGAGGCCCCUCCCCUCCCCACUCUUCAUCUAUGUAAUAAUCAUACUAAUCAUCUUUAUCUUUAUUUCUGCGUCCUUCACAACGCUGUCCCUCUGGAGAAACACACGAAAAGGACGAGAGAGCCACAGCGCACAAUGAGCAGCAACAUCUGAGGGCGAGACCAACCUCUCGGCUUUUGUUUACCCCGUUUACCAGCUGACCCUUUGACCCCUGCGUCAAAUUCACUCUGCCUCCUCAGAAGAGGCGAGUAAUGCCGCAAAUUAAAGGACAGGGUGAGACCUUUAAUGUUGAGUUUUUUUGUUUUUUUUUCUCUGUGGCUGUGAGUUGUAAAAUAGUAAGUGGGGGCGAGGUGGUGGCGUCUGGACGGUUUGAAGAGGACGUAUGAGUGGCUGAGGACCGGACGAACCCUCCCGGUGGCCCAGUUUUUUUAUGAGUUUUAACAUAAUUGCAGUUGGUUUUUAGUCUAAAAUAAAAGCAUCUUUUAAUCUUGGGUUUUAAACCCCCGCCUCACGGUGGUGUUUGCGUUUCUCUCCGCUGGAAUGUAUGUUCGAGUGCUGGAAUGUGAGUGCACGGUGUGACACAAAGUUGAAUGUGUGCCAGGGCCCGGCCUCCACUUCCUGUGUCUCUUCCAGCGCCCCCCCCCCCCCUAAAAACAGUUGCGUUUAACUCCACAACGAUCAGUGUCUCUUUGUCCGGUUUGUCCUUCUGAUGAGGAACACUUAAUGUAGGUAUUCGCUUUAAUGUCGGAUAAUUCAUGAUUGAUGAGUUAAAUAUUAUAAUAUCCAAAAAGGUCUUGUGACAGUAAUGUUAUAUUAAUAUAUUGUACCUCUUUAAUUCAUCAUGAAUAAACAACAAAAACUUAAACCCGGAUUAAAUCAAUGGAAAUAGAACGAACAUUUUAAUGAAAUAACUGUAUAAUAUAGAAUAGAAAAUCCCAACUUCCUGUCCGCCACUCAAACGUUGCUCUGAAUAACGACCUGUCAGUGAUCCCAAAUGUGACAAAGUGCUGUUUGACUAAGUCCUUUAAUGGGAUUUCAAAAGCACCGAACACCAAUGAGGCAGAGCGAGAGACGGCGGAUCCUUUUGUGAGGGCGGUUAAGUCUCCAUGAGGCGUCCAUAGGGAACAGGUGGGGCCGGGCCGGGGCCCCCCUGGGGCCGGGGGGGGAGAGGGGAUCACACAGUUGACGGCUGCUUCUAAUUGUGCUGUCUCUGCUGUAUCCACGACCUACCCGGGUCGUCGCUUAACUGAGCGAGUAAUGGGCGCCCAGAGGGAAGGAGGCAGCGUGACCUCGGCCACGCGGCCAAUUAAAUGGACCCUAUUGUUUAUGUCUGUACGAUAGAGUGUACCAAUGUCCCUGUGUCUGUAUGCCGGUCCCUCUGUCUGUGUGUGUGUGUGUGUGUGUGUGUGUGUGUGCGUGCUCCCCCUGAUGGGGGCCAAGUCCUCGCCACCUGCUCUGGAAGCCUUUUUGGGGCAGCGGGUGUCAAAUGAUGACAUUGGCACUUCUAACAGACCGCUGGCGCUCUAUUUCCACCGUCUGAGUUUGCGAGCCAGCUUUGUCCCCCAAAAUCAUGGGUCCUCUUUUCCAACAGGCUAUUUCAAUAAAAAAGGCGAACGCCUCCCACUUUGACCGUUUCAGAAACGUCAACGCUCAGGUUUAUUGCAAACAAGUGGUGUAUAGCCUUGGACUUGCUCAUUGCAGGCAGACCAGUGAAAUGCACACACACACACACACACACACACAAAGGGCCCCCUAGGCAGCUAAGUAGCUAAGCAGGGUGCUUAGCAGAACCAACAGCCGGGGAAGGUAAAACAAACACGGGGGCCGCCAGUAAAUCACCUCCAUCCGCAGCAGCCUACCGGGUAUUGGACGGCACGGGGAGGCCCUGUGAGAAACCGCAUGGGGGGGGCGGAGGGCUCCGAGGCCCUGGAAGUGGACGAGGGGGACCCGCGGCCCCGACCCCGAAAUCGUUCCCAGUGAAACCUAUGAGGCAGAGAGAGAGAGGGUACUCGCAAUGGCCCAAAACCCUUCAGCUGAGCCCAGCUUAUUUCCAGUCAAGGGUGGAGGGAGGGGGGGGGGGGCAGGAUGGGUGGAGAAGACCGGAAGAUGGACACGGACACGGUCACAGC
ensembl:lncRNA